UUCUUUAAUACAUAAUCCUUCCUCUCAGUUUUCUGCCACUCCUUCCAAAUGAAGAAUUAAAUUUAAGUUGCUAAAGUAUAAGAGGAAGGCCAAAAUGAACAUCAGAUGGGGCUAUGAGAAAGAAAUAGUUGCCAAGGAUUUAUGAGAGGAUAUGCCUCUGGAUGGAAUUGAAUGAAGGCUAAAGAUGAAACCUACCUUAAAUGGCUAGGAUGCAGCCUUUGUUGGGUUGAGUUCUAUUAUUAUAUUAUUUUAUAUACAAUUCACAACUUUUGUGCUUCUUGUUCUAUUUUGAGUUUGGUCAGUGAGCAGUAGAUAUUGAUGAAUUUAGUGCAAGGUUCAAGUUAUUUUAAGUUCUUGUUCAAAAAAGCUAAUAGAAGCUUUAUCUGUGGUUUUUUUAUGUUGUGAGAUUUAUCUUUCUCCAAUAUAUUUAAUCUACUUUCAUCUUAUUUGAUUAGUUCUUUUCUUAUUAUCAUUUUUUAAAAAUAUAUUUAAUUACUGUCUUUUAUUAUAUCUUCAUAUCUCUGUUUAUGUUUCUCUGUAUUUUAACAAAGCACUGCGUUGAUAUUUCAUGAUUGAUGUGUAAUUUUAGAUUUUUUGGGUAACUUUACAUUAUGUCUUUGAGAUUCAUUACACAUUUCAUCACUUCUCAUUUAUGAAGAUUCUCUCUGGGACUUUGGUUUGCUAUAUUAUACUUAAUUUUUCGUUCUGGAGAUAUUCUAAUUUUUUUUUAGAUAGACUUUAGUUGCUGAUCAUGCCGUUAUGUGCUAUUUUUUUGCAAACAGAAUGUUCUUGAAAUGAUGCAAUAAAGAAAUGCUUUAUGCUUGACUUGCCUUUUUUUAUUUUUUCCCUUCUUCAUCAGCUCGCAAAAAAAGGGGAAAAGCUUAUAGACCUUCCCUAUGUUGUCAAAGGAAUGGAUGUUUCAUUUAGUGGAAUACUAAGUUAUCUUAAAGCUACUGCUGAGGAAAAGCUAAAAAACAAUGAAUGCACCCCUGCAGAUUUGUGCUAUUCCCUUUAGGAAAGUGUGUUUCCGAUGCUUGUGGAGAUUACAGAAUGGGCAAUGGCACACAUUGACAAGAAAGAUGUUCUCAUUGUUGGUAGUGUGGGCUGCAGUGAGCGCUUGCAAGAGAUAAUGAGAAUCAUGUGCUCCGAGAGGAGUGGAAGGUUGUUUGCAACUGAUGACAUGUACUGUGUUGACAAUAGGGCAAUGAUUGCAUAUACUGGUCUCUUAGCUUAUGCUAAUGGGAUGUCAAAUCCGGGGGAGGAAUCAACAUUCACAUAGCGGUUCAAACUGAUGAAGUCCACGCAACCUGGAGAGAGAAAAAUGAAUCUUCAAAUGGUCUCAUGGAAAAAGGUGUCUAAUUACCUACAUGUUUCAAGGGAAAGCAAAUGUGGGGUGGUUAUUGGCAACAAGGAGGGAGUAAUUUGUCAGGUAGCAAAGCAAUAUAUCCAAGAGAGAUUGAUGAAGAAGAUCUACCGUGAGCUCUCACUAUGAGACAAGUUGUCUUCUAUUGGUGAAAUACUAAAAUAUGUGUUCCUAAGAAGUUGAAUAGUUUUUCCUUGGAAGACAUUUGUGGAGACAACUCCCACCAUUAGUAACAAUUAUAUAUAUAUAUAUAUAUAUAAUCUCGAGCACUACUAUCUUGCUCGACUAAAACAUGCCUGUCAAAUAGCGGCCAAAGAUCAAGUUCUUGACAUGAAAUGUGCUGAUCUGUGUGACUCGUUUGGAUUGGCAUAUUUAUCAAAAGAUGACUCAGGUGAGUGUAGUUUCUCGUCUUCACU